rnacentral:rRNA from 1 species
UACAGAGGUGGCAAGCGUUGUUCGGAACUAUUGGGCGUAAAGGACGCGUAGGCGGUGCGGUAAGUCACCUGUGAAACCUCUAGGCUCAACCUAGAGCCUGCAGGCGAAACUGCCGUGCUUGAGGGUGGGAGAGGUGCGUGGAAUUCCGGGUGUAGCGGUGGAAUGCGUAGAGAUCCGGAAGAACACCGGUGGCGAAGGCGGUUAGCUGGGCAGUUGCUGACACUGAGGCGCGACAGCGUGGGGAGCAAACAGG